ACGUCUACGAGUUUGAUCAUGGCUCAGAACGAACGCUGGCGGCAGGCCUAACACAUGCAAGUCGAGCGCCCCGCAAGGGGAGCGGCGGACGGGUGAGUAACGCGUGGGAACGUACCCUUUGCUACGGAAUAGCCUCGGGAAACUGGGAGUAAUACCGUAUGUGCCCUUCGGGGGAAAGAUUUAUCGGCAAAGGAUCGGCCCGCGUUGGAUUAGGUAGUUGGUGGGGUAAUGGCCUACCAAGCCGACGAUCCAUAGCUGGUUUGAGAGGAUGAUCAGCCACACUGGGACUGAGACACGGCCCAGACUCCUACGGGAGGCAGCAGUGGGGAAUCUUAGACAAUGGGCGCAAGCCUGAUCUAGCCAUGCCGCGUGAGCGAUGAAGGCCUUAGGGUUGUAAAGCUCUUUCAGUGGGGAAGAUAAUGACUGUACCCACAGAAGAAGCCCCGGCUAACUCCGUG
rnacentral:rRNA from 1 species